UGGGGAAUAUUGCACAAUGGGCGCAAGCCUGAUGCAGCCAUGCCGCGUGUAUGAAGAAGGCCUUCGGGUUGUAAAGUACUUUCAGCGGGGAGGAAGGCGAUAAGGUUAAUAACCUUGUCGAUUGACGUUACCCGCAGAAGAAGCACCGGCUAACUCCGUGCCAGCAGCCGCGGUAAUACGGAGGGAGCAAGCGUUAAUCGGAAUUACUGGGCGUAAAGCGCACGCAGGCGGUCUGUCAAGUCGGAUGUGAAAUCCCCGGGCUCAACCUGGGAACUGCAUUCGAAACUGGCAGGCUAGAGUCUUGUAGAGGGGGGUAGAAUUCCAGGUGUAGCGGUGAAAUGCGUAGAGAUCUGGAGGAAUACCGGUGGCGAAGGCGGCCCCCUGGACAAAGACUGACGCUCAGGUGCGAAAGCGUGGGGAGCAAACA
rnacentral:rRNA from 1 species